UGGGGAAUAUUGCACAAUGGAGGGAACUCUGAUGCAGCGACGCCGCGUGAACGAAGAAGGCUUUCGAGUCGUAAAGUUCUUUUAUAUGGGAAGAUAAUGACGGUACCAUAAGAAAAAGCCCCGGCUAACUACGUGCCAGCAGCCGCGGUAAUACGUAGGGGGCUAGCGUUGUCCGGAAUCACUGGGCGUAAAGGGUUCGCAGGCGGAAAUGCAAGUCAGGUGUAAAAGGCAGUAGCUUAACUACUGUAAGCAUUUGAAACUGCAUAUCUUGAGAAGAGUAGAGGUAAGUGGAAUUUUUAGUGUAGCGGUUAAAUGCGUAGAUAUUAAAAAGAAUACCGGUGGCGAAGGCGACUUACUGGGCUCAUUCUGACGCUGAGGAACGAAAGCGUGGGUAGCAAACAGG
rnacentral:rRNA from 1 species